rnacentral:rRNA from 1 species
GAUGAACGCUGGCGGCGUGCCUAAUACAUACAAGUCGAGCGAACAGAUAAGGAGCUUGCUCCUUUGACGUUAGCGGCGGACGGGUGAGUUACACGUGGAUAACCUACCUAUAAGACUGGGAUAACUUCGGGAAACCGGAGCUAAUACCGGAUAACAUAUUGAACCGCAUGGUUCAAUAGUGAAAGGCGGCUUUGCUGUCACUUAUAGAUGGAUCCGCGCCGUAUUAGCUAGUUGGUAAGGUAACGGCUUACCAAGGCAACGAUACGUAGCCGACCUGAGAGGGUGAUCGGCCACACUGGAACUGAGACACGGUCCAGACUCCUACGGGAGGCAGCAGUAGGGAAUCUUCCGCAAUGGGCGAAAGCCUGACGGAGCAACGCCGCGUGAGUGAUGAAGGUCUUCGGAUCGUAAAACUCUGUUAUCAGGGAAGAACAAAUGUGUAAGUAACUGUGCACAUCUUGACGGUACCUGAUCAGAAAGCCACGGCUAACUACGUG